rnacentral:lncRNA from 1 species
CGAUCUCCUGGCAACGCUGCGGCCCCGCCCACAUCAUGACGCCCGAGGAGAACGCGGGUACCAAACUCUUGCUGCAGGGUUUUGAGAGCCGCUUCCUAGUGGCGCGCACACUGCGCUCCUUCCCCUGGCAGGUGGGCGGCGGGGCGAGCGGAGAGGCCCGCGGGGCUCGCGGAGUCCAGGGGCAGACGGGAUGGGUCUCCGUGCUGAAACCCCCGGCGCUCCUGCCACAGCUUAGAGGCAAAGUUAAGAGACUCAUCAGAUUCUGAGCUGCUGCAGGAUAUUUUGCAGAAGACUGUGAGGCAUCCUGUGUGUGUGAAGCACCCGCCGUCAGUCAAGUAUGCCUGGUGCUUUCUCUCAGAACUCAUCAAAAAGCCCUCGGGAGGCUCGGUCACACUCUCCGAAAGCAUGGCCAUCAUCUCCCACAGCACCACGGGUCUGGUCACAUGGGAUGCCGCCCUCUACAUUGCAGAAUGGGCCAUCGAGAACCCGGCAGCCUUCACUCACAGAUGUGCUGUAUUGCCCAGAAGCCAUUGUGUCACUGGUCAGGGUCCUGCGGAGGCUGGCUGCCUGCCGGGAGCACCAGCGGGCUUCUGAGGUCUACGUGGCCUUCGCUGUCCGCAAUUGAGAGACGUGCCAGCUGUUCACCACCGAGCUAGACUCUCGCUCUGUCACCCAGGCUGGAAUGCAAUGGCGUGAUCUCAGCUCACUGCAACCUCUGCCUCCCAGGUUGAAGUAAUUCUAGUGCGUCAGCCUCCCAAGUAGCUGGGAUUACAGGUGCCCACCACCAUACCUAGCUAAGUUUUGUAUUUUUAGUAGAGACACUUUUCGCCCUGUUGGCCAGGUUGGUCUCGAACUCCGGACCUCAGGUGAUCUGCCUGCCUCGGCCUCCCAGAGUUCUAGGAUUACAGGUGUGAGCCACCAUGCCCAUUCAGAAAAAAAUUUUUAAAUAAACAAUAGCCAGAGUCCCCUGGUCAGGUGGAGAAAGUGCACUGCUCUGGCAGGGAGGCCCCCAGCCUCUGUGAGAUACUCUCCUGGAGGGCGCAUUUCAGCCUAAGGGCCU